rnacentral:rRNA from 1 species
CCUAGCCUACGGGAGGCAGCAGUGAGGAAUAUUGGUCAAUGGCCGAGAGGCUGAACCAGCCAAGUCGCGUGAGGGAUGACGGCCCUACGGGUUGUAAACCUCUUUUGCCGGGGAGCAAAGAGCGGGACGCGUCCCGCCUCGAGAGUACCCGGAGAAAAAGCAUCGGCUAACUCCGUGCCAGCAGCCGCGGUAAUACGGAGGGUGCGAGCGUUAUCCGGAUUUAUUGGGUUUAAAGGGUGCGUAGGCGGGCUUUUAAGUCAGCGGUAAAAAUUCGGGGCUCAACCCCGUCCGGCCGUUGAAACUGG